rnacentral:rRNA from 1 species
CAGUAGCCGCGGUAAUACGUAGGGUGCAAGCGUUAAUCGGAAUUACUGGGCGUAAAGCGUGCGCAGGCGGUUAUAUAAGACAGAUGUGAAAUCCCCGGGCUCAACCUGGGAACUGCAUUUGUGACUGUAUAGCUAGAGUACGGCAGAGGGGGAUGGAAUUCCGCGUGUAGCAGUUAAAUGCGUAGAUAUGCGGAGGAACACCGAUGGCGAAGGCAAUCCCCUGGGCCUGUACUGACGCUCAUGCACGAAAGCGUGGGGAGCAAACAGGAUUAGAUACCCCGGUAGUCCCUGUCUCUUAUAC